GACGAACGCUGGCGGCGUGCUUAACACAUGCAAGUCGAGCGGUAAGGCCCUUUCGGGGGUACGACGAGCGGCGAACGGGUGAGUAACACGUGGGUGACCUGCCCUCAGCUCUGGGAUAAGCCCGGGAAACGUAGGGUCUAAUACCGGAUAUGACUCCAUGACGCAUGUUGUGGGGUGGAAAGCCUUGUGCGGCUGAGGAUGGGCCCGCGGCCUAUCAGCUUGUUGGUGGGGUGAUGGCCUACCAAGGCGACGACGGGUAGCCGGCCUGAGAGGGCGACCGGCCACACUGGGACUGAGAUACGGCCCAGACUCCUACGGGAGGCAGCAGUGGGGAAUCUUGCGCAAUGGGCGAAAGCCUGACGCAGCGACGCCGCGUGAGGGAUGACGGCCU
rnacentral:rRNA from 1 species